rnacentral:lncRNA from 1 species
AUGCAAAGAAAUUGCAUUGAGGAAAACAAUAGAAUGGAAAAGACUAGAGAUCUCUUCAAGAAAAUUAGAGAUACCAAGAGAACAUUUCAUGCAAAGAUGGGCCCGAUAAAGGACAGAAAUGGUAUGGACCUAACAGAAGCAGAAGAUAUUAAGAAGAGGUGGCAAGAAUACACAGAAGAACUGUACAAAAAAGAUCUUCAUGACCCAGAUGACAAUGGUGUGAUCACUCACCUAGAGCCAGACAUCCUGGAAUGUGAAGUCAAGUGGGCCUUAGAAAGCAUCACUAAAAACAAAGCUAGUGGAGGUGAUGGAAUUCCAGUUGAGCUAUUUCAAAUCCUGAAUGAUGCUGUGAAAGUGCUGCACUCAAUAUGCCAGCAAAUUUGGAAAACUCAGCAAUGGCCACAAGACUGGAAAAGGUCAGUUUUCAUUCCAAUCCCAAAGAAAGGCAAUGCCAAAGAAUGCUCAAACUACUGCACAAUUGUACUCAUCUCACACGCUAGUAAAGUAAUGCUCAAAAUUCUCCAAGCCAGGCUUCAGCAAUACAUGAACCAUGAAAUUCCAGAUGUUCCAGCUGGUUUUAGAAAAGGCAGAGGAACCAGAGAUCAAAUUGCCAACAUCUGCUGGAUCAUUGAGAAAGCAAGAGAAUUCCAGAAAAAUAUCUAUUUCUACUUUAUUGACUAUGCCAAAGCCUUUGACUGUGUGGAUCACAAUAAACUGUGGAAAAUUCUGAGAGAGAUGGGAAUACCAGACCAUGUGACCUGCCUCUUGAGAAACUUGUAUGCAGGUCAGGAAGCAACAGUUAGAACUGGACAUGGAACAACAGCCUGGUUCCAAAUAGGAAAAGGAGUACGUCAAGGCUGUAUAUUGUCACCCUGCUUAUUUAACUUCUAUGCAGAGUACAUCAUGAGAAACGCUGGGCUGGAAGAAGCACAAGCUGGAAUCAAGAUUGCUGGGAGAAAUAUCAAUCACCUCAGAUAUGCAGAUGACACCACCCUUAUGGCAGAAAGUGAAGAGGAACUAAAAAGCCUCUUGAUGAAAGUGAAAGAGGAGAGUGAAAAAGUUGGCUUAAAGCUCAACAGUCAGAGAAUGAAGAUCAUGGCAUCUGGUCCCAUCACUUUGUGGGAAAUAGAUGGGGAAGCAGUGGAAACAGUGUCAGACUUUAUUUUUUGGGGCACCAAAAUCACUGCAGAUGGUGAUUGCAGCCAUGAAAUUAAAAGACGCUUACUCCUUGGAAGGAAAGUUAUGACCAACCUAGAUAGCAUAUUCAAAAGCAGAGACAUUACUUUGCCAACAAAGGUCCAUCUAGUCAAGGCUAUGGUUUUUCCAGUAGUCAUGUAUGGAUGUGAGAGUUGGACUGUGAAAAAAGCUGAGCACCAAAGAAUUGACGCUUUUGAACUGUGGUGUUGA